rnacentral:rRNA from 1 species
GCAAGUCGAGGGGUAACAGGGAAGCUUGCUUCCGCUGACGACCGGCGCACGGGUGCGUAACGCGUAUAGAAUCUACCUUAUACUGGAGAAUAGCCCGAAGAAAUUCGGAUUAAUACUCCAUAAUAUUCAGAUACUGCAUAGUAUUUGACUUAAAGUUUCGACGGUAUAAGAUGACUAUGCGUCCCAUUAGCUAGAUGGUAAGGUAACGGCUUACCAUGGCAACGAUGGGUAGGGGGCCUGAGAGGGUUAUC